rnacentral:tRNA from 1 species
CCCUUCGUGGUCACACACUCGACUCGUAACCGAGAGGUCCGUGGUUCGAUUCCCGGCGAAGGAU